rnacentral:rRNA from 1 species
ACUCAAUAGAUACCCGGGUAGUCCACGCCGUAAACUAUGGAUGCUAGCUGUUAUCGGUAUCGACCCCGGUAGUAGCGAAAGCUAAACGCGUUAAGCAUCCCGCCUGUGGAGUACGAGCGCAAGCUUAAAACAUAAAGGAAUUGACGGGGACCCGCACAAGCGGUGGAGCGUGUUGUUUAAUUCGACGGUAAACGAAGAACCUUACCCAGGCUUGACAUCCUGCUAAGAUUUCCGAAAGGAAAUUGUGCCUUCGGGCCGCAGUGACAGGUGCUGCAUGGUCGUCGUCAGCUCGUGUCGUGAGAUGUUUGGUUAAGUCCAUCAACGAGCGCAACCCUUAUAGUCAGUUGGAUUUUUCUGGCUAGACUGCCCCGGUAACGGGGAGGAAGGAGGGGAUGAUGUCAGAUCAUUAUUGCCCUUACGUCUGGGGCUACAAACACGCUACAAUGGCCGGUACAAAGGGCAGCCAACCCGCGAGGGGAGCAAAUCCCAUCAAAGCCGGUCUCAGUUCGGAUUGUAGGCUGAAACUCGCCUGCAUGAAGCUGGAAUC